rfam:Muricauda lutaonensis strain CC-HSB-11, complete genome.
ACUCAACAGAUUUUUAAUUAAAAAGGGUGAGUUUAGGCUGUAAAAGCGGGCCCUACUCGUAUAGGGAUACUUGAGCAGUCUGGUAGCCCUAAACCUGUCACGAGGAGUUU